GAUGAAGAACGCAGCGAAAUGCGAUAAGUAAUGUGAAUUGCAGAAUUCAGUGAAUCAUCGAAUCUUUGAACGCACAUUGCGCCCCUUGGUAUUCCGAGGGGCAUGCCUGUUCGAGCGUCAUUACACCACUCAAGCUAUGCUUGGUAUUGGGCAUCGUCCUUAGUUGGGCGCGCCUUAAAGACCUCGGCGAGGCCACUCCGGCUUUAGGCGUAGUAGAAUUUAUUCGAACGUCUGUCAAAGGAGAGGAACUCUGCCGACUGAAACCUUUAUUUUUCUAGGUUGACCUCGGAUCAGGUAGGGAUACCAGCUGAACUUAAGCAUAUCAAUAAGCGGAGGA
rnacentral:misc_RNA from 1 species